GCGAAUGAAUGAGCACACAUUCAACAUGAAAAACAAAUUGUUAUGAUCUUGUAUUGUAAUUUCAUGAUGCAGCAUUAAUGGAACUGCAUGAACAGAUAUUCUUGAAACGGCAUGUCAAAGAUGGUGAAAGCCCAAUGGCUUCAUGUGCUUUCUGUGCACGGUCUGCAUUUGGUGAUUCACAUUCCUUGGCAAUGGAAUGCAAACAGGUGGUAAAUUCCAUCCAAUAUAACAAUACAACAUUGAGGCUGAUAACAAACAAGUACCAUGAGGGAAAUAUGAAAAGGACUUUGGAAAGAGAAUUAAAAGAGUUUGCAUUUGCUUGGCAUAAAACAAAUUAAUGUUGUCAUGGCCAAAAGAUUGUUGCAUUUCUGGGUGUGUGCCAACAUUGCUCAGCAAGUGUAAUGCUUCUUUCCCCCCACAAAGCUGUUGCAUUCAUGGAUCAUUCUUGUUUGGUGCUGGCAAUAUGUGUUGCAUAGUGGUGCUCUGUUUGCAUUUCUGAUUUCUGAUGUUAUGCGCACGCCUUUUGAAGCUGGACAGACAUGGCUGGGUGGUUUGUGUAUCUUCUUGGAGGAGUGGCUUGUGUGCUGACAAAGAAGGUUGCUUGACCCGUCUUG
rnacentral:rRNA from 1 species